UUGGCUUAGAAGCAGCCACUCAUUUAAAGAGUGCGUAAUAGCUCACUAGUCGAGUGAUUGUGCGCCGAAAAUGUAACGGGGCUAAAAUUCAUACCGAAGCUUAGGAAUGAUAGUAAUAUUGUUGGUAGAUGAGCGUUGUGUAAGUCUGCGAAGCUACACCGAAAGGAGUAGUGGAGAUAUCACAAGUGAGAAUGCCGGAAUGAGUAGCGAGAAUUAUGUGAGAAUCAUAAUGGUCGAAAAUCUAAGGUUUCUUGAGGAAGGUUCGUCCGCUCAAGGUAAGCCGGGAGCUAAGGCGAGGCCGAGAGGCGUAGUCGAUGCACAUACGGUAAAGAUUCCGUAGCCACCGAAGUUGUUAAAUACAGGGACACAGGAACAUAGCCUAACCCCACCGUUGGUUGAGUGGGGCGUAAGGGAGCGAAAAUUAGUAGCGAAGUGGGUGAUUGUACACUGGCGAGAAAAGCUGUAUGAAUUGACAAGGUGCCCGUACCGCAAACCGACACAGGUAGAUGAGGAGAGAAUCCUAAGACCAGCGGGAGAAGUGUUGUUAAGGAACUCGGCAAAAUGACCCCGUAACUUCGGGAUAAGGGGAGCCUACGAGAGUAGGCCGCAGAGAAUAGUCUCAAGCGACUGUUUAGCAAAAACACAGGUCUAUGCUAAAUCGAAAGAUGAUGUAUAUGGGCUGACGCCUGCCCGGUGCUGGAAGGUUAAGGGGAAGUGUUAGAGCAAUCGAAGCACUGAACUUAAGCCCCAGUAAACGGCGGCCGUAACUAUAACGGUCCUAAGGUAGCGAAAUUCCUUGUCAGGUAAGUUCUGACCCGCACGAAUGGCGUAACGACUUGAGAGCUGUCUCAACAACAUACCCGGCGAAAUUGAAGUACUGGUAAAGAUGCCAGUUACCCGUGAUAAGACGGAAAGACCCCAUGGAGCUUUACUGUAACUUGAUAUUGAAUUUUUGUAUUACAUGUACAGGAUAGGUGGGAGACAGAGAACUAAUGCCGCCAGGUGUUAGGGAGUCGAUGUUGGGAUACCACUCUUGUAAUAUGAAGGUUCUAACCUGCACCCGUGAAUCCGGGUGGGGGACACUGUCAGGUGGACAGUUUGACUGGGGCGGUCGCCUCCUAAAAGGUAACGGAGGCGUUCAAAGGUUGGUUCAGCACGGACGGAAAUCGUGCAACGAGUGCAAACGCAUAAACCAGCCUAACUGCGAGACCGACAAGUCGAGCAGUAACGAAAGUUGGAGUUAGUGAUCCGGCGGUAUGAGAGUGGAAUUGCCGUCGCUCAACGGAUAAAAGCUACCCUGGGGAUAACAGGCUGAUCUCCCCCAAGAGUCCACAUCGACGGGGAGGUUUGGCACCUCGAUGUCGGCUCAUCGCAUCCUGGAGCUGUAGUCGGUUCCAAGGGUUGGGCUGUUCGCCCAUUAAAGCGGUACGCGAGCUGGGUUCAGAACGUCGCGAGACAGUUCGGUCCCUAUCUAUCACGGGCGUAGGAAAUUUGAGGAGAGCUGACCUUAGUACGAGAGGACCGGGUUGGACGUACCGCUGGUGCACCUGUUGUUCUGCCAAGGGCAUAGCAGGGUAGCUAAGUACGGACGGGAUAAACGCUGAAGGCAUCUAAGCGUGAAGCCCCCUUCGAGAUAAGAUUUCCCAUAGCGUAGGCUAGU
rnacentral:rRNA from 1 species